AGCAGCCGCGGUAAUUCCAGCUCCAGUAGCGUAUAUUAAAGUUGUUGCAGUUAAAAAGCUCGUAGUUGAAUUUCGGGGUCAGCAAGUUGGUCGUGCCACCGGUAUGCACUGGCUUUGCUGAUUCCUCCUUCUUGUAGAACCGUAAUGCCAUUAAGUUGGUGUUGCGGGGAAACAGGACUGUUACUUUGAAAAAAUUAGAGUGUUUAAAGCAGGCUAAGGCUUGAAUACAUUAGCAUGGAAUAAUGAAAUAGGACGACGAUCCUAUUUUGUUGGUUUCUAGGAUUGACGUAAUGAUUAAUAGGGAUAGUUGGGGGCAUUAGUAUUCAAUUGUCAGAGGUGAAAUUCUUGGAUUUAUUGAAGACUGACUACUGCGAAAGCAUUUGCCAAGGAUGUUUUCAUUAAUCAAGAACGAAAGUUAGGGGAUCGAAGGCGAUCAGAUACCGUCGUAGCCUUAACCAUAAACUAUGCCGACUAGGGAUCGGAUGAUGUUAAUUUUAUAAUGACUCA
rnacentral:rRNA from 1 species